rnacentral:lncRNA from 1 species
UCCUCACUGAAGAAGUGGAGUUUUUUCAUCGACUUCGUGAGUACUAUGACUUUACCCAUUAUUUCUACUGGUAAUGAUAGCUCUGCCCUUAGAAUUGCCUCUCCAGAUGGUGGAUCAAAAUUAGCAAUACAGAAGGUUAGCAUUUUGCUAUAAGCAAGGGAUGAGGACAUCAAUCAUUUGUUUGUGCCCUGGGAAAAUGAAAGGAGGAGAGUCUGAUUCUGAAUCUUACCAAAGAUUAUUAAUGAGUAACAAG